rnacentral:rRNA from 1 species
AGAGUUUGAUCCUGGCUCAGAACGAACGCUGGCGGAUUAACACAUGCAAGUCGAACGCCCCCUUCGGGNGGNGGCGAACGGGUGAGUAACGCGUGGGACCUGCCCUUUAGUGGGGGACAACCGCUGGAAACGGCGGCUAAUACCGCAUGUGGCCUGAGGNNCAAAGCCGCAAGGCGCUAGAGGAGGGGCCCGCGUCCGAUUAGCUAGUUGGUGGGGUAACGGCCCACCAAGGCUUCGAUCGGUAGCUGGUCUGAGAGGAUGAUCAGCCACACUGGGACUGCGACACGGCCAGACUCCUACGGGAGGCAGCAGUGGGGAAUAUUGGACAAUGGGCGCAAGCCUGAUCCAGCAAUGCCGCGUGCGUGACGAAGGCCUUCGGGUUGUAAAGCGCUUUUCCCUGUGACGAUGAUGACGGUAACAGGGGAAUAAGCCCCGGCUAACUUCGUGCCAGCAGCCGCGGUAAUACGAAGGGGGCUAGCGUUGUUCGGAAUGACUGGGCGUAAAGGGCGCGUANNCGGCGCAUCAAGUCGGGCUGUGAAAGCCCCGGGCUCAACCCGGGAAUUGCGCUCGAGACUGGUGUGCUGGAGUGCGGGAGAGGAUGGUGGAAUUCCCAGUGUAGAGGUGAAAUUCGUAGAUAUUGGGAAGAACACCGGUGGCGAAGGCGACCAUCUGGACCGCAACUGCGCUGAGGCGCGAAAGCGUGGGGAGCAAACAGGAUUAGAUACCCUAGUAGUCC